AUACGUACCUGUCCCAGGGAGAUACCAUGAUCACCAAGGUGGUUUUCCCAGGCCCUGCCUUAUCCAUUGCACUCCAGAUGUGCUGUGCUGACCCCUAUGAUGUUCCCAAAUGCAGAAAACUCAGGCGCAUAAUUUGUGUCAGUGUGGGCCACGUUUGUGUUCUUUCU